rnacentral:rRNA from 1 species
CGCUGAAUUUAAGCAUAUAAGUAGGCGGAGGAAAUGACACAAACAUGGAUUCACUGAGUAACUGCGAGUGACAUGUGAUUUGCUCACAGCUGAUAUUCUUUGCUGAAUGCUUUGACAUGAGGACUUUGAGUGUGGUGCCAAUGGUGUUGCAAGUGUGAGCCAUCUUGGAAAAGAGGAGAGUGUGCACUUACAAGGGUGAGAAGCCCGUGUGUGCUUGCAUAGUCUCCAUACGUGGGCCUUGCUUUGAGAAUCAUGCUCUUUGGAAGUGGAGUGUAAAGUGGGUGGUAGACUCUUCUCAAAGCUGAGUACAGAACUGGGACAGACAGAGAAGAAGUACCAUGAGGGAAGUGUGAAAAGGACUUUGGAAAGAGACUUAAAAGAGCCUGCACUUGCUGAAGGGCACGCAUACAGCAUGCUUGCUUGUGAGAUGAUUGCGGCGUGUUUUCGGCUGUUUUUUGACUGUGUUUUCAUGGACAUGUGCCAUGGACAUUUGACUACCCAUUGUGUAUCCUCUUGCGUCUGCCAUCAUGUUGGAGACUGUCAGUGUUUGAGUGCAGUGAUUGCUGUGCGUCUUGCGUUACAUCAGAUGUGCACUCAAAGAUCUGAGCAUGUUGAAAAGCGGUGCAGAAGGACCCUCCUGUCUGUAUGACCCGUCUUGAAACACGGACCAAGGAGUCUAGCAUGAGUGCAAGCUUAUGGGACUGAAGACUCUGUGUGCAAUGAAGGUGGAGUCCCAGAUUUGUGCAUGAGUGUUCAAACAAGCAGGAGGACAAGGUUUGAGUCUGAGCAUUCCUGAUAGGACCCGAAAGAUGGUGAACUAUGCCUGGAAAGGGCCAAGUCAGGGGAAACUCUGGUGGAGGCUCGAAGUGUUACUGACGUGCAAAUCGUUCGU